GCCCGCCUAGCUCAAUCGGAUAGAGCGUCAGACUUUUACAGAGUCGCCUCGGCGGGUAAUUCUUCAAUCUGAAGGCUGCGAGUUCGACCCUCGCGGUGGGCU